CUCCUACGCCAGCUGGACUUCAACAGCUCCAAAGAUGUGGCUGUAAUGCAGUUGAGAAGCGGCUCCAAGUUUCCCGUCUUCAACAUGUCCUACAACCCGGCUGAGAACGCUGUGCUCCUCUGCACGAGGCCGAGCAACUUGGAGAACAGCACCUACGACCUCUACACCAUUCCCAAGGAUGCCGAUUCCCAGAACCCCGAUGGUGAG